AGUGUUUUUGGAUCGUUCCGCGGACAAGACAUUGAUUACUUGUCUGUCCAAGAACAUUCAGUAAACAAAGAACUGCAGACAACCGUUCGUACCAUUGAAGAGAUGGCUAGUCUAUCCCACAUCCUCGUUGUCAUUCCCAAAGACAAUGCUAGCGUGAAUAAGGUCAAUUGUGAACAGCGAUCUCUUCCGGCGAGGGUCUGGGGGAUCCUAUGGCACUCGCAGUUGAUCAGGUCUGCUGCGUCGUCAUCUGUCCGAUCCACGGCUGACUACAAUCCCACCGAUUACCAAAUAAGUCAAGACCACAUCUGAUUUUUCCACAACGCAAGUUGUCUGGAGUCCUACUGUAGUCAUUUUUUAAGUAACCACAGCCUUAAUAAUGUAUAGCCUUAAUUCAUUUUUAUAAUCACAUGCCAGUGGUGUAGGGGUGUCAGUGUCCACUAAUUUUGAUGCCGUAAAAAUACAUGAAAACAUCGACAUUAAGAAUAAUAUAUUUAAGAACAAGGCAAACCAUUACGUUUGCAGUAGUCAUUUGUGCAUGUAGGACCAGGUGCAGUAACUACACGGCUGCGGGCUUCCUCAUAGCAUCAGCAUCUCACUCGACUCGCAUCAUUUAGGAGACUAGUGUGCUCUGGCUUGCAGACGAGGCCACAGUCCGAAUAUAUCGGCUUGGAGCAUCAAACAUAGAUGUUAAUUUGAACCCUGCAUGGAAGAGGUGAUGAAGUCUUAUCCAUCAGCAGAAGCUUGUUUGCUGUUAUGUUUUGGAAUACUCCUCGAGGGCCGCAGAUGUUUGCCUGCAUCACCUACAUGGAGAAGAAUCUUCAGGUUGAUUGUGAAUUCCCAGAGACGCAAAAGAUCCCUGGGCCAUUCUGCGAGUUCAAACAGGACGGACGACUCAUGGGUUCCACCUACCCCAACACUCCGGUCCACAGAAUGUUAUCAGAAAUUUAUAUUAUUGUUUUGAUACAGUUUGUUGCAUUGCACCUUUAUGCAAAGUCUAGUUGUGUUUCCUUCUCAAAUCAUAAUAAUGAAUCAUGCAUUUGCUCAAUAGAAAAUACUUUUUAUUGCUGGAAUUCUUUGUAAUAUUUAUAGAAAUAAAUGAAUGAAAUCAUUGCAACAGUAAUUUGUACACUUUGUGGUGGGCUGGUUAAAUGAUCCUAGUGCAAGAUGCAAUGUAGUGCUGCUGAACACUAUUAUUGCCAUACCUUUGUCUAUCACCUGUAUAAGGAAAGCUCUAUCUGAAGGACAUUUCCACUGCAGACAUUUUGUAUUCCAACACUUAUACCAUAUGCAGGGUCAGAAGUAUCUCAUUCACACAAACAACUCGAGUAUCAAGGCAAAGAAUAAUAUAUUUGUAGCACAGAAAACAAGUGCAUAAGAAUGAUAGU